rnacentral:tRNA from 1 species
GCCUGGCUCGCUUGGUCGGUACAGCAUGCGACUCUUGAUCUCAGGGUCGUGAGUUCAAGCCCCAUGACAGGCC